UACGAAGGGUGCAAACGUUGCUCGGAAUUAUUGGGCGUAAAGCGCACGUAGGCGGCAUUGCAAGUCGGAUGUGAAAUCUUAUGGCUUAACCAUAAAAGUGCAUCCGAAACUGCAGUGCUUGAGUACUUAAGAGGAUCGCGGAAUUCCCGGUGUAGAGGUGAAAUUCGUAGAUAUUCGCAAGAACACCAGUGGCGAAGGCGGCUCACUGGCCCGGUACUGACGCUGAGGUGCGAAAGCGUGGGGAGCAAACAGG
rnacentral:rRNA from 1 species